CCCUUAGACGUUCUGGGCCGCACGCGCGCUACACUGACCAGUGCAAUAAGCAUCCGUCCUUGGCCGACAGGCUCGGGCAAUCUUUGAACGCUGGUCGUGAUGGGGAUAGACUUUUGCAAUUUUUGGUCUUCAACGAGGAAUUCCUAGUAAACGCAAGUCAUCAACUUGCAUUGAUUACGUCCCUGCCCUUUGUACACACCGCCCGUCGCACCUACCGAUUGAAUGGUCCGGUGAAGCCUCCGGAUUGGCGCGCACCUCGGUGCCGCCGAGAAGUUGGCUAAACCUUACCAUUUAGAGGAAGGUGAAGUCGUAACA
rnacentral:rRNA from 1 species